AUCUUUCAUGCUGUGGAAAUUGAUGGAGACAGCAACACAGCCAGCUUCUUGGCCAAACAACAUGGAAUGCAGUUCAUUUCAAAGGUACUGGUCUCUCAGCCUGUAAGGCUUGUGCAUGAUGUAUAUGAGAACGAUUUCCAGCAGAGAGAAGCUUAUCACAGAUCCACCUAAAAGCUGCAAAAAGGAAGCAUUUGGCAGGAGAAGGGAGAUUGUUUCAAAACAGUUGGAUGAAAUGCUCCUAUGGUGCUGGAGUUUUACUCUGCCAUGAUCAAUGAAUAAUUAUUGCUUUCUGAUGUCAGUGGGAUCUGAUGAGAGUAAGGAAGAGACGAUGGCAUCAACAAUGUGCCCCUGUGUCUGAAAGACAUAAUUACUUGGUGGAGGAACAGGCUGCUCAUCUCCUCCUGGGCAGGAUGAGAAUGGUGCCGAUAAAUAAACAGAGAGGAGGCUUUCUGCUACUGUAGGCUGUGCUGGAGGCUUCACCUUUUCCUGUCAGAUGUGGACUUUGCUACAGCAUUUCAAGGUUUGUUUAUCCCUGUGCUGGAUUGCUUCAGACUGUUCUGCUUGGGCUUGUCAGCUGAAAAGCAGAGAAACAUCACAUGUUAAAUCUUGAUGAAAUUUCUAAGCAACAUAAAGAAGAGUGCGGCCUAUUAUUUAGAUAUGGCAACAUACAGCACUGAAAUAUCUCCAAGGACAAGGUCAUUGUCUCCAGAUCUCCUAAUGGGGAGAUUUCUUGAGGACGGAGUUAUAGGGAAGCCCUAUAUGACAAAGAUCAGGACCGUACUUUUAAGCAAUAAGGGGGUCUUUUUAGUGAAGGCUCUCUGGCCUGAAAAUAGGGAUGGGAUGUGCAUUAGCACCCGAUGGGACCACUCUACAUAAUGUUUCCUCCAGAACAAUGGCAUUUUCUUCCUUCCAUUAUAUUCCUCUGCAACCUACAUACUUUUCAAAAAUAUAUUUUUUUACACUUAUAUAUGCUUAGGCUUCAGUAUGAGACCUGAUACAUGUUGGAUUAUGAUGUAAAUUCUUAUGUAUGUCUUUUCAUGAUGCUUCAAUAAAGCCAUCAAAAUUGAAAAUCAAAGAGAAACAAAAACAAAGGGGUAAGAACAUAUGGAGUGGGAUAAACCAAUUAUCAUCUUCAUUAUGAGUGUUGUUUGCUAAAAACUUCAGCUUUGAUUUAGCUUUAUGCGGUAACUCCAGUGGAAAUUUAUUUUACAGAAAUACAAAAAAAAUUCUGAAACUCUUACUUAGGUUUUGCAAGAAUCACUGACGCUCUGUAGAUUGCAUAGGACUACAGAACAGUGGAUUAGCAUGAAAAGAAGAGGGUUUCUACCUCUGAGAAGGUUUUUCUUCCUGUUCCAAAGUAUAUUCAUCGUGCUGUAUAGCUAAAUAAUAGGUGUGUCCUGUUCUAAGUCACAACACAAUCUUAGGAAUUUUUGCAACUCCUUUUGAGGCAAAGGUGUUUCUUUGUCUGUAAGUGGCAUGGCUACUGUGAUAAAUUGUUAAAUAUAUGCAUUUUUAGUAACAAAUACAUAAAAUAAUUAAAUUUCAAAUAAACAUAUUUGAAAUUUGUUU
rnacentral:lncRNA from 7 species